AACGCGAAGAACCAGGCCUUGACAUGCAUCUCUAAGUUGGUGAAAGCCAGCGAGUCUCGCAAGAGAACCGGAACACAGGUGCUGCAUGGCUGUCGUCAGCUCGUGUCGUGAGAUGUUGGGUUAAGUCCCGCAACGAGCGCAACCCUUGUCAUUAGUUGCUACGCAAGAGCACUCUAAUGAGACUGCCGGUGACAAACCGGAGGAAGGUGGGGAUGACGUCAAGUCCUCAUGGCCCUUAUGGGUAGGGCUUCACACGUCAUACAAUGGUCGGGACAGAGGGUCGCCAACCCGCGAGGGAGAGCCAAUCUCAGAAACCCGAUCGUAGUCCGGAUCGCAGUCUGCAACUCGACUGCGUGAAGUCGGAAUCGCUAGUAAUCGCGGAUCAGAAUGUCGCGGUGAAUACGUUCCCGGGUCUUGUACACACGC
rnacentral:rRNA from 1 species